GCCUCGGUAGCGCAGUAGGCAGCGCGUAAGUCUCAUAAUCUUAAGGUCGUCAGUUCGAUCCUCACCCGGGGCG
rnacentral:tRNA from 1 species